GUUAUCAUGGCUGAGUGGUUAAAUCGACAGACUGCUGAUCUGCUCUUGUGAAUUCGAUUCUCAUUCACGUCG
rnacentral:tRNA from 1 species